UCGUCACACUAUCAUUAACUGAAUCCAUAGGUUAAUGAGGCGAACCGGGGGAACUGAAACAUCUAAGUACCCCGAGGAAAAGAAAUCAACCGAGAUUCCCCCAGUAGCGGCGAGCGAACGGGGAGGAGCCCAGAGCCUGAAUCAGCAUGUGUGUUAGUGGAAGCGUCUGGAAAGGCGCGCGAUACAGGGUGACAGCCCCGUACACAAAAGCGCAUGUGCUGUGAGCUCGAUGAGUAGGGCGGGACACGUGGUAUCCUGUCUGAAUAUGGGGGGACCAUCCUCCAAGGCUAAAUACUCCUGACUGACCGAUAGUGAACCAGUACCGUGAGGGAAAGGCGAAAAGAACCCCGGCGAGGGGAGUGAAAAAGAACCUGAAACCGUGUACGUACAAGCAGUGGGAGCACCCUGUGUGACUGCGUACCUUUUGUAUAAUGGGUCAGCGACUUAUAUUCUGUAGCAAGGUUAACCGAAUAGGGGAGCCGGAGGGAAACCGAGUCUUAACCGGGCGUUAAGUUGCAGGGUAUAGACCCGAAACCCGGUGAUCUAGCCAUGGGCAGGUUGAAGGUUGGGUAACACUAACUGGAGGACCGAACCGACUAAUGUUGAAAAAUUAGCGGAUGACCUGUGGCUGGGGGUGAAAGGCCAAUCAAACCGGGAGAUAGCUGGUUCUCCCCGAAAGCUAUUUAGGUAGCGCCUCGUGAAUUCAUCUCCGGGGGUAGAGCACUGUUUCGGCUAGGGGGCCAUCCCGGCUUACCAACCCGAUGCAAACUGCGAAUACCGGAGAAUGUUAUCACGGGAGACACACGGCGGGUGCUAACGUCCGUCGUGAAGAGGGAAACAACCCAGACCGCCAGCUAAGGUCCCAAAGUCAUGGUUAAGUGGGAAACGAUGUGGGAAGGCCCAGACAGCCAGGAUGUUGGCUUAGAAGCAGCCAUCAUUUAAAGAAAGCGUAAUAGCUCACUGGUCGAGUCGGCCUGCGCGGAAGAUGUAACGGGGCUAAACCAUGCACCGAAGCUGCGGCAGCGACACUGAUGUGUUGUUGGGUAGGGGAGCGUUCUGUAAGCCUGUGAAGGUGGCCUGUGAGGGUUGCUGGAGGUAUCAGAAGUGCGAAUGCUGACAUAAGUAACGAUAAAGCGGGUGAAAAGCCCGCUCGCCGGAAGACCAAGGGUUCCUGUCCAACGUUAAUCGGGGCAGGGUGAGUCGACCCCUAAGGCGAGGCCGAAAGGCGUAGUCGAUGGGAAACGGGUUAAUAUUCCCGUACUUGGUGUUACUGCGAAGGGGGGACGGAGAAGGCUAUGUUGGCCGGGCGACGGUUGUCCCGGUUUAAGCGUGUAGGUGUGUGUUCCAGGUAAAUCCGGUUCACUUUAACACUGAGGCGUGACGACGAGGCACUACGGUGCUGAAGCAACAAAUGCCCUGCUUCCAGGAAAAGCCUCUAAGCAUCAGGUAACAUCAAAUCGUACCCCAAACCGACACAGGUGGUCAGGUAGAGAAUACCAAGGCGCUUGAGAGAACUCGGGUGAAGGAACUAGGCAAAAUGGUGCCGUAACUUCGGGAGAAGGCACGCUGACACGUAGGUGAAGUGAUUUACUCA
rnacentral:rRNA from 1 species